rnacentral:rRNA from 1 species
AGGUAAGCUACUAAGAGCGAAUGGUGGAUGCCUUGACUGGUAAAGGCGAUGAAGGACGUACUAGACUGCGAUAAGCUACGGGGAGCUGUCAAGAAGCUUUGAUCCGUAGAUUUCCGAAUGGGGCAACCCAAUGUAUAGAGAUAUACAUUACCUAUAUAGGAGCGAACGAGGGGAAUUGAAACAUCUUAGUACCCUCAGGAAAAGAAAUCAAUAGAGAUUGCGUCAGUAGCGGCGAGCGAAAGCGCAAGAGGGCAAACCCAGUGCUUGCACUGGGGGUUGUAGGACUGCAAUGUGCAAGAGCUGAGUUUAGCAGAACAUUCUGGAAAGUAUAGCCAUAGAGGGUGAUAGUCCCGUAUGCGAAAAACAAAGCUUAGCUAGCAGUAUCCUGAGUAGGGCGGGACACGAGGAAUCCUGUCUGAAUCCGGGUCGACCACGAUCCAACCCUAAAUACUAAUACCAGAUCGAUAGUGCACAAGUACCGUGAGGGAAAGGUGAAAAGAACUGAGGUGAUCAGAGUGAAAUAGAACCUGAAACCAUUUGCUUACAAUCAUUCAGAGCACUAUGUAGCAAUACAGUGUGAUGGACUGCCUUUUGCAUAAUGAGCCUGCGAGUUGUGGUGUCUGGCAAGGUUAAGCAAACGCGAAGCCGUAGCGAAAGCGAGUCUGAAUAGGGCGCUUAGUCAGAUGCUGCAGACCCGAAACGAAGUGAUCUAUCCAUGAGCAAGUUGAAGCUAGUGUAAGAACUAGUGGAGGACUGAACCCAUAGGCGUUGAAAAGCCCCGGGAUGACUUGUGGAUAGGGGUGAAAGGCCAAUCAAACUUCGUGAUAGCUGGUUCUCUCCGAAAUAUAUUUAGGUAUAGCGUUGUGUCGUAAUAUAAGGGGGUAGAGCACUGAAUGGGCUAGGGCAUACACCAAUGUACCAAACCCUAUCAAACUCCGAAUACCUUAUAUGUAAUCACAGCAGUCAGGCGGCGAGUGAUAAAAUCCGUCGUCAAGAGGGAAACAACCCAGACUACCAGCUAAGGUCCCUAAAUCUUACUUAAGUGGAAAACGAUGUGAAGUUACUUAAACAACCAGGAGGUUGGCUUAGAAGCAGCCAUCCUUUAAAGAAAGCGUAAUAGCUCACUGGUCUAGUGAUUUUGCGCGGAAAAUAUAACGGGGCUAAAGUAAGUACCGAAGCUGUAGACUUAGUUUACUAAGUGGUAGGAGAGCGUUCUAUUUGCGUCGAAGGUAUACCGGUAAGGAGUGCUGGAGCGAAUAGAAGUGAGCAUGCAGGCAUGAGUAGCGAUAAUUAAUGUGAGAAUCAUUAACGCCGUAAACCCAAGGUUUCCUACGCGAUGCUCGUCAUCGUAGGGUUAGUCGGGUCCUAAGUCGAGUCCGAAAGGGGUAGACGAUGGCAAAUUGG